AAAAAAAAAAAAAAAAAAAAAAGAAAAACAAAAAAAACAAAAAAGGGAAGGAGGAAGAUCUGGUUGCCCUGACAUGGU
rnacentral:rRNA from 1 species